rnacentral:lncRNA from 1 species
CACUCUGUCUAAACAGAUAACCACAAACCGAGAGAGAGACUACGCAGUUAGACUUGACUAGUAUCCUCAUUAACACGUAUCUCUCUACACACAAAACCUAACGAAGCUGAGAGGGAGCCUCCUAGUCGAUCGUAAGAUUCGAGAUAACUUUACCUCUUUUGAAUCUUCAAGACGGGUAAUUUUCCCUGUAAACUCGAUGGAUGCAUACUCAAUGCAUUUGUUACGGAAGCGGUUGCGCAAUCUGUUAACUCUAAUCGAAUAAACCCUAUAGUCUAUAAGGAACAUCACCUCUUUCGAUGCUUUACGCAAGAUGUUGUUCAUCUUCACGAACUUUGGAUCUUUGAAUAAAGUGUACCAUCGUUUGCAAGUAGUUUGCAAUUUUGCUAGAGACUUGGACGGAACCCUAGCGAGUAUUUCUGAUUCCAAAUCAUGGGGUAGAUCGGAAAUCAUAAUAGUCAUCUUCUAGUUAACUCCAGCCCCUUAAAAAAAACUAGAAAUUAUGUUUUUUAUUUUUCAACAAGCAGAAUUGUUUUAUUUAUAAGCGCAGGGCAGGCAAACUAAUUUCUUUUGGCAAAACUAGAUUAAAAAGGAGAAUCUAACUGGGUGCUAUUGGAUAGUGAGUUUAAAGUUAACUCUUUAGAUUUUAUGAUCUAGUGUUAUUUAAUGAUUGAUUUUAACAUUAUUUAUUAAAAAUAUAGUGUCAUUUAUUGUAUUUUAAAUAUUUUUAUUAAAAGAUUUUGAAAUCUAAUAAUAUUGGUUAUUGUAUUUACUUUUCUUAUAUAUUAAAACAUAAGCUUCAACCUUGAUUCAUGUGUGAUUUUUUUUUUAAAAAUAAACCUAAUGGACCUAUUCCUAGAAAGUCAUGUUACAUUUAAUCUAUAAUCUUAUCAUUUAAAUUUUGGACAUAACUGAAAUUUUUAUUGGGCUAUAAAUAAUUAGAUUUAAAGAAUAGAUGAUCCAUUGGAUUUAUAGAUAGUAUAAAUUAAAUAGAUAUAAUUUAAUGUUGUAAUACUAUACCUCCAUAUGUUAAAUAUUUAAAUAUUUGUCGAUGUUAACUUUUAAAAUUAUAAAGAUUUUUUUUUGAAUAAAAAAAUCAUAUUAUCUAACAAUGAUUAAAUUUUACUACUUUAAACCAGUGAAAACAAAUUUUAAACUAUAUAGUUUAUUUGAAAAAUUAAACAAAAACUAAAUGUUUAAUUAUUUACUCGAUAAUAUAAAUCUAUGAAGCAGAAAAUUUAUUUUUUUAAAAACUUUAUAAAUUUGUGAAAUGUUACAAUAUCUUUGAAUAUGACAAUAAAACAAUAUUUUACUAAUUUAUAUAUAUAUAGUUAAGAUUUUAAUAAUGAAAUAAUAAUCCCAAAAAAUAUAUAUAGAAGAAUAUACAAAUACAUGUGAAAUUUUAAAACAAAUUAAAUAUUUAAAUAUUUGUCGAUGUUAACUUUUAAAAUUAUAAAGAUUUUUUUUUGAAUAAAAAAAUCAUAUUAUCUAACAAUGAUUAAAUUUUACUACUUUAAACCAGUGAAAACAAAUUUUAAACUAUAUAGUUUAUUUGAAAAAUUAAACAAAAACUAAAUGUUUAAUUAUUUACUCGAUAAUAUAAAUCUAUGAAGCAGAAAAUUUAUUUUUUUAAAAACUUUAUAAAUUUGUGAAAUGUUACAAUAUCUUUGAAUAUGACAAUAAAACAAUAUUUUACUAAUUUAUAUAUAUAUAGUUAAGAUUUUAAUAAUGAAAUAAUAAUCCCAAAAAAUAUAUAUAGAAGAAUAUACAAAUACAUGUGAAAUUUUAAAACAAAUUAUUCAAUGAAAAAAAUAUACCGUAAACUUAUUAUGUUUUAAAAAUUGAUAGACACAUAUAUUAUAAUAUAUACCAAUUUAGAAUUGAAAACAAAAUAUUUAUAUAAAAAUAAAUGAAAACAAAAACUUCUGUGGUUGCGCGGAUCGAGAUCUAGUUGUUAUUAAAGAAACUAAAAUUCCAUUGUUAUUCAAUUCAAUAUUUGAAUACAACCUUUAAAAUCUUGUGUUAUCAUGUUUGGUAUAUCUUCACAAUCCAUUUGACUUGUAGGAGUUUAAAUGAAUUUGGAUAACAUUCCAUGUGUAAAAUAUAUCAAUCAAAAUCUCAUAUCUUAUCUUCAGAUUUUGUAAACAAUUUUUCUUAAACCAAAACCAUUUAAUUGAAAAAAUAUCUGACGUGAACUAAAAACCAUCUAAUGGACAAAAAAAAAUUAUAUAACAAAAAGAAUGAAUCAUAUGUUCUGUAUCUAUAGCAAAUAUUAACAAUAUAGCUGUAAAGUUUGCAUAUCACAUUUUCAUCUAAUCAGAUUCUUAUGAUCCAAACAUUAAAAAAAUAGUUUCAUUUUUUAACUAAACCUAUUUUUGUAUCAACUUGAUUAAAUUAGGCCUAGAUUAAAUUCAUAUGUAGAUCGAUAACAAUUUAUUUCUUAUAAAACACUUACCAUAUAUAUCGUUUAGGUAGGCAAAAAGUCUAAUAGCUUGCGGCAGAAUAGAUGACAGGAUUGAUUCAAACUAAUAUUAAAUAAAUUUCACAUCCGAUAGGGAGAAAUUCAUAUACCUAAAUUUUUUUUUUGUCAUAAAUAUAGAUUUUAAAAAUAAAAAUGACCAAAAUAACUUAAAUGUUUUAUCAAAAAUAAAUAUACACUUAUACCCGUGUGGUUAAUUAAUCUAGACAUUAGGAUUUAGAGUUAAGGAGUUGAAUUUAUGGUUUAGGAUUUAAGGUUUAAGAUUUAGAAUUUAGGGUUUACGGUUCAGAGUUGAGGAGUGGUGUUUUGGGAAAUGAUUUCAAAUUUUAAAAAAUAAAAUUUUUUAAAAUUUUCAAAAUAAAAAAUGAUAUUUUGGUCAUUUUAGUUUUUGAAAUCUAUUUUUGUGACAAAAACUUAAAAAUAUAGAAUCACCUUUGAUUCAAACCCAUUAUUGAACACCCAGCUUCAAAAUCAGCCACUAUACAAGCCAAACGGGUAAGUUCUAUUUAUUAUGAGCUCGUACAACUAAUCCAGAGUAUCCUAGUGGUAGUUAAAUUUGCAAGACCCGGUGGUUCAAGCCCAGAAUGGUGAACAUUAGGUUUAAGAGAUUUCUUUUUAUUAUGGAAAUUUUUUAUUUUCUUGUAUUUUAGAUGUUUUGUAGUUUUCUAUAAAAUUUUGUUGUUUUUAGUCGUUUUAUGUUAUUUUGAGCUGACGAGCUUAUAUCUCAGCUGAUGAACCAGUUUAUAAGGUUCUUUUGCAGCUUUGUAAGAACAAAAACUUUAUACAUAUCAUCUAAUAUAGAGUCAGUUUGCCCCGUAGAGCAAAAUUCAGUCAAGUUCCCUCUUUGUGUGUGAUUCACGUAGAGCCAAGUUCUCAGUAGUAUAAGAGAUCUUCCCAUAGUCUAUGUGGUGCCAUCAAUCCAUACCUGUCUAAUCAAGUUCCUAGGUGGAUUGUUGUUUGUGGAAUGACAUUAAUGCCAUACCAUUUUUGUGAGAGAUUUACAUUUUUGUUACAACCAUUUGAGUGAAAAAUUGAGAAUGUGUAAAUUUUAUUUAUAUAGUGAGCUAAAAAUUUCCAAUUAUAUUAAAUAUAUUCGAUCCGGAAGUCUUCUAACGUAAAAAAAAAAAGAUUUACUUCUUCGAAAUCGUUUAUACCCUAAAUAUAAACCAUGAACUCAAAUAACUAACUAAAUAGAAACAAACAAUUCAAUAAACUUAAAUUCAACUUAAAAUGUGUUUAAUAUACAUAAAACUAAACACAUAUAAGUCAAAAUUUAUUUUUCAGAAAAAUGUUAAGCUUCCAAAAUCUAACCCUAAGAAUACAUACAAUAAUACAAUAUAUGUUACCAAACCCUAAACCAAAAAAUACCAUGACUCACUAUAUUCACUCAUCUAUGUUGAAAACAAUUCAAUUUUACUAUAUCUUAAUAUAUAUCAUUUACAAAUAUUUAUAAUUAAAUGAUUUCAAUUUUUCCACCAACAAAGUAUUUUUUAUAAAAUUUAUAAAUUAUUUGUAAGAUCUAAUAUACGAGACUUCCAGAAGAUUUUAUGGAGCUAUAUGUGGAAUAAUGAAUUCUGUUUUUUUUUGUUGUUUGGUCAUAAAAAAUUGGUUGUAAUUUCACAAAGCUUUUAGGUUAGUUUUGCAUCUAACUAUAUUAAAAGGAAGCUAACCAGGUAGGAUUACAAAAUCAGACAAUUAGAACCCUCUUUUUUAACACGUGUUUUCGUCUGGGCUGACCAGAGAUAAAAAGUCAGUUCAAGCCCAUUAAUGCUUAGCCUAACAAUCGUGGAAGCGUAGAGCUCAUCUUCCCUAUCCCGACUCUUAAGCUUCAUCUUCACCGGUUGCGAUAGUAACUCUGCUGCUGCUUCCUCCUCUUCAUCAAUCAAUGAUGCUAUUAAAUCUCAUAUUUAUUGUUUCGUUAUACCUUCCUCUCCUUCUCCUCAUAUAUAAAAUCUAUCAUAUCUUCGUAGAGAAUUACUUCGAACCAAAUUCAGAAACCUCCUUUCAAGAAUCUCAAGCUAUGGCGAUUGUUAGCUCUUUACCUUUGUGAGUUUACAACUGCUGCAGUAUUUUUUGAGAUCUGAACGGAAGAUUUUCGUGCCACUUUGAAGGAGCACCCCCAAGAACGAAUAUGUUUUUCUUGUGUAAGUUUCAGACAAAUCUCUGGAUAUAACCUUUUUUUUUCUGACGAAAUAUCAUUCUCAGUCUUAUUAGGUUGAAUUAUUUGUUCCUGCAAUUCUUAUUUUCAGACUAGCGCAAGGUCGUACUCUCGGAUCUCUGGCCUAUCUGCAGAGCCGGACCUGUAAAAUUGGGGGCCCUAUUCAAAAAAAAAAAAAUUUGAUAUGUAUAUAUUGUAAUUUAUUUUUUAUAUUAUAAAAUUUGACUAUUAAAAUUUUCAAAUUAGAAACAAUUAAAUCCGUUGAGAUUAUGAUGAGUGCGCAACAAAAUAUAUGUUAAAAUCAGUUACAAUUUUGAAUUCUACCUAAAAACCAAGAAUUUUUUCAGUUUUUUUAAUUUUUUUAGUGAAAUGUUACCUGAGUACGUUUGGUCCAGGAGGAAAAAGAGAGAAGAAAAUGAUUUAUUAUCACUAAAACGAUAACUACCCAUGGCCCACCUAAUAUUCCAUUGACAUCUCCACAACUAAACUUCUGUUAUCAACGUUGUAUACAUCACAUUAGUUAUAUAAAUAUGCAUACAUGUACAUAUAGAAAAAAUUUAGAAGUGGGGGCCCCAUCUCAAUGUUUCGUAACACUAUGUACAGGUCCGGCUCUGACUUCAGGAACAAGUCUGGCCCCUCCUACGGUAGCUCUGUAAAUCGGAACCGCAUAAAUAAUCAGAAACUAAUCAGUAGCCUAAAGAUUACAUGCAGAGCGGAGAGUAUACUUACUUUUAGCAUUACUUUGUGUUUGAAAACAUCCACAAGCUCCUCGACCAUUAUCUCUACGAUCAUAAUGACAUUGCAAAAAGUACAAGCCUUAGAGUCAACGAAAAGAAAAUGAGAAUCAAGUAAUCAAUAACUAGUUAUUGCAAAUUUUGUAUAUAGAUCUUACCAAAUGCAGAGCCACUCCAAAAAUCAAAUGGUCACGGCCAACCGUUUUUCCUUUUAUAGCUUUAACAAGCUCAUCGUAAAGGUCUGAACCCUCCUAAAAGAAUAUAUAUAUAUAUAUAUAUAUAUUCAUUACAUCGGUUUUAUUAGAGACAAAAUAUCCGGCAAAGUGUCUCUAUUUUAUCUCCUUUUUAGCAAUUACUGCCCUACAAAUUGUUCAGCCACAUAACCCAAAAUCUGAAAUAAAAAAAAAAGGAUAAUGGUCCCCACUCUGUCUAAACAGAUAACCACAAACCGAGAGAGAGACUACGCAGUUAGACUUGACUAGUAUCCUCAUUAACACGUAUCUCUCUACACACAAAACCUAACGAAGCUGAGAGGGAGCCUCCUAGUCGAUCGUACCCGAGAAUGCACCGGCUGCUACUUGAAUCCCACGUUGGCGGUGGAGGAGGAGAUGGGUACCUGAGGGACAUGAACUUCGACGCAAACAUGGUGAUCAUACUCUCUGCUCUGCUCUGCGCUUUGAUACUUGCGCUUGGGCUCAAUUCGAUACUCCGGUGUGCGAUGCGAUGCGGCUUCGGGCUAUCCUCAGCGGCAUCGACGGUGGCGGCAGACAGGCCCGGAUUGAAGAAGCGAGAACUGAAGAGGUUUCCCGUGGCCGCGUACGGGUCGAGCGGGGUGGAGAUAGCUACGACGGAGUGCGCCAUCUGUCUGGGGGAGUUCGCGGACGGUGAGAAGGUCCGAGUUCUUCCGCCGUGUAAUCACAGCUUCCACAUGUCCUGUAUCGACACGUGGCUUGUCUCUCACUCUUCCUGUCCCAAUUGUCGGCACUCGCUCAUCGAGUUACACGUGGCAGGAUCAACCUAAACUAUAGCAAGCUGCUCAGAGUGAUUAGUCGUAAGUUGAUUUAGUUAUUUGUCAGAUUAUGGGCUCCUGGUAGCUCUAGCAGUUGUGAUAGUCUAUUACAGUUGUAGACUUUUUUUUUAAGUAAGUAAUCAGUCUUUGCAUACAAUAUGGUUCAUGGGGAGUGAUUUUUUUUUAAGUACGUAAAGCCCGAAAGAAAAUAUGAGACCGAAUUAUUCGGGUAUAAUUACAUGGAAAAUUAACAGGCCCAUAAUAAAAACACCACUAUGUUUGGUUUUUAGAGGUAAAACAGCACUAAAUAAUGGUCCAACAUAAUCAUUUGGUCCGAGAGUUUGGUCCCAGAAACUAACCUGCAAAGAGGGCUCAGGGGUGGACCGGGUGGUAAUCGAUACAGGUCGAACAAAGCCGGCCACACUGGAGACAAGUGCCGUAGUAAAUGUACGGCUCUUACUUAAGUAGGUGCAGAAAUAUUGUCUAGCAUCCUAAUUUCUGCUAUAUGGUAGUGGUAUAUGGUAACGCAUGUUGAAAUAAUUAAUUUUAUCUUAUAUAACAGUUGAAUAAAUGAAAAAAAUAAAAUAGUUAAAUUUCAAUAAGUAUUUAAAAAUGUUUUAUUCAUUUCAUUUUAAAAUAACAUUAAUUUUACUAUUUAUAUUUUAUUAUAAUUAUCAUAGACUAUAGACUUAUCUUACCACUGAAUUUUCAUGUGUAUUAUUUUUUCAAUGUUUGUUUAUCUUAACUAUGAUAGUAAGUAAAAUAAAAUAUUUUCUGAUAUAAAUUUGUUUCUUGAAUUCUUUGGUAUUUUCUUUUCUUAUUGAACAUUUUCUCUUAAAUUUGAUAUAUGCAUCUCUUUUAUUUUCAAGAAUAAUAUAUUUUCUUAACUAGUUUCAUAUAUGCAUAUUUUGUAAUUUGUAAAAUUUUAACUACUGUAGUUUUUGUCAGUUAAUAAAAAUAUUUUAGGUGGUUGAGAAUAAUAUAUAUAUAUAUAUAUAUAUUCAUUACAUCGGUUUUAUUAGAGACAAAAUAUCCGGCAAAGUGUCUCUAUUUUAUCUCCUUUUUAGCAAUUACUGCCCUACAAAUUGUUCAGCCACAUAACCCAAAAUCUGAAAAAAAAAAAAAGGAUAAUGGUCCCCACUCUGUCUAAACAGAUAACCACAAACCGAGAGAGAGACUACGCAGUUAGACUUGACUAGUAUCCUCAUUAACACGUAUCUCUCUACACACAAAACCUAACGAAGCUGAGAGGGAGCCUCCUAGUCGAUCGUACCCGAGAAUGCACCGGCUGCUACUUGAAUCCCACGUUGGCGGUGGAGGAGGAGAUGGGUACCUGAGGGACAUGAACUUCGACGCAAACAUGGUGAUCAUACUCUCUGCUCUGCUCUGCGCUUUGAUACUUGCGCUUGGGCUCAAUUCGAUACUCCGGUGUGCGAUGCGAUGCGGCUUCGGGC